rnacentral:rRNA from 1 species
UACAGAGGGGGGCAAGCGUUGUUCGGAAUUACUGGGCGUAAAGGGCGCGUAGGCGGCCUUCUAAGUCGAACGUGAAAUCCCCGGGCUCAACCCGGGAACUGCGCCUUGAGACUGGGCUGGCUUGAGUGCGGGAGAGGAUGGUGGAAUUCCCAGUGUAGAGGUGAAAUUCGUAGAUAUUGGGAAGAACACCGGUGGCGAAGGCGGCCAUCUGGACCGCAACUGACGCUGAGGCGCGAAAGCGUGGGGAGCAACAGG